rnacentral:rRNA from 1 species
CAGCAGCCGCGGGAAUACGUAGGGUGCGAGCGUUAAUCGGAAUUACUGGGCGUAAAGCGUGCGCAGGCGGUUAUAUAAGACAGAUGUGAAAUCCCCGGGCUCAACCUGGGACCUGCAUUUGUGACUGUAUAGCUAGAGUACGGUAAAGGGGGAUGGAAUUCCGCGUGUAGCAGUGAAAUGCGUAGAUAUGCGGAGGAACACCGAUGGCGAAGGCAAUCCCCUGGACCUGUACUGACGCUCAUGCACGAAAGCGUGGGGAGCAAACAGGAUUAGAUACCCCGGUAGUCCCUGUCUCUUAUCC